rnacentral:lncRNA from 1 species
AUCUUGAAUCUUCUAUUCAAGAUCACCAGAUUGUACCUCCCUCUUCAUCCUCGGAAUGCCUUCCGCUCUCAUGAAGAUCUUGCAUCCCACUACCAUAGGAUUUUAGGUAGCCCCACAAGAUUCACCGCACCAUCUCCAGACUCUGAACUGGUCAAGUCCGUACCUCCCUGAAGAAACGCUUGCUUCCAACUAUCAUCGGAAUUUUAGAUAGCUCAACAAGCUCCACCAUCCCUCGUCAGCCCCCGGACUGUGCCUUUUUCGUCCUCCUGAAGAAUCGCUUGCCUCCGACUAUCCAUGGGAUUUUGCGAUAGCCCUACAAGCCUUCACCACUCUUCGACCCCGGAAUGCCUUCCGUACUCUCGAAGUUUUGCUUGGC